rnacentral:rRNA from 1 species
UACGAAGGGAGCUAGCGUUGUUCGGAAUCACUGGGCGUAAAGCGCACGUAGGCGGAUUUGUCAGUCAGGGGUGAAAUCCCGGGGCUCAACCUCGGAACUGCCUUUGAUACAGCAAGUCUUGAGUUCGAGAGAGGUGGGUGGAAUUCCUAGUGUAGAGGUGAAAUUCGUAGAUAUUAGGAAGAACACCGGUGGCGAAGGCGGCCCACUGGCUCGACACUGACGCUGAGGUGCGAAAGCGUGGGGAGCGAACAGG